rnacentral:rRNA from 1 species
GACGUAGGUGGCAAGCGUUGUCCGGAGUUAUUGGGCGUAAAGCGCGCGCAGGCGGUUCGAAAAGUCCAUGGUGAAAGCGCUCGGCUUAACUGAGCGAGUGCCGUGGGGACUGUCGAGCUGGAGGGGAGCAGAGGCGAGUGGAAUUCCGGGGUGUAGUGGUGAAAUGCGUAGAUAUGCGGAGGAACACCGAUGGCGAAGGCAAUCCCCCUGGACCUGUACUGACGCUCAUGCACGAAAAGCGUGGGGGAGCA